rnacentral:lncRNA from 7 species
CUUUUGUUCAGUGAAAUAACUAAAAUUUUCCUGUGGUAACCAAGAUACAAGCCUGAUUUUAUGUUACCACUGGCUCAGCCUUAGCUGAUUUCAUACGGAAGGAGACCAUAUUAUGGAGCCAGCUAGAAGGACAGGACCCUGCCUAUUCUUAUAAGACCAAAGCAGGAAGAUUACUGUACAGGAAAAAAUUUCUUCAUCUGUCUGGGAAAAGGAAAAGCCAGAGUUUUGGCCACCGGAAACAGAAAUCAAGAAAGAAACUCCUGGAUCUGACUGACAAGAAGCACGGUUGAAAAUAUAAAACAUUAUCAAAAUUCCCAGAAGAUGCCACUGGCAAACUGCAAAGCCAUAAAGAGGCUUGUGGAUUCACAAAGACCUUAAAACACAUCUGACAGCAGAGGGCAUCACAGAAUCCAGGACAUCUGUUGCUUUAAUGGCAGGUAAGGGCAUGGACACUGCUGCUAGCAAGAAUGCCCCUAACAGCGUGGAAGCCAGCAAGAGACCUUGAGCCAGCCAACCUGGAAGGACAGUGAAGCACAGAGGCUGCCAGAAUGGAUGACUGCUGCUGCAGAGCAGCAGUGAAAACUUCCGUAUAUUCUGAACUUGAAGCACCUGCCAGUGUGGAACACUCCCAGGAGAGGCCAAGGAACAGGGGUCCUCCAGCAUACCUUGUUUAAAAUGGGCUUGGUUGGAUCGACAUCUGUGGACUCUACUUACUCCCGCCCUAAGCAACUCCCUUCUCCUCUCAUCCCAAAAUACUCGUUGGAUCCCACACACUAUUAAAUUACCGAUUUUAAAACA